rnacentral:rRNA from 1 species
GACGAACGCUGGCGGCGUGCUUAACACAUGCAAGUCGAACGGAAAGGCCCUGCUUUUGUGGGGUGCUCGAGUGGCGAACGGGUGAGUAACACGUGAGUAACCUGCCCUUGACUUUGGGAUAACUUCAGGAAACUGGGGCUAAUACCGGAUAGGAGCUCCUGCUGCAUGGUGGGGGUUGGAAAGUUUCGGCGGUUGGGGCUGGACUCGCGGCUUAUCAGCUUGUUGGUGGGGUAGUGGCUUACCAAGGCUUUGACGGGUAGCCGGCCUGAGAGGGUGGACGGCCACAUUGGGACUGAGAUACGGCCCAGACUCCUACGGGAGGCAGCAGUGGGGAAUAUUGCACAACGGGCGGAAGCCUGAGGCAGCAACGCCGCGUGCGGGAUGACGGCCUUCGGGUUGUAAACCGCUUUCGCCUGUGACGAAGCGUGAGUGACGGUAAUGGGUAAAGAAGCACCGGCUAACUACGUG